rnacentral:rRNA from 1 species
UACGGAGGGUGCAAGCGUUAUCCGGAUUCACUGGGUUUAACGGGUGCGUAGGUGGGCAGGUAAGUCAGUGGUGAAAUCCUGUAGCUUAACUACAGAACUGCCAUUGAUACUAUCUGUCUUGAAUACCCUGGAGGUGAGCGGAAUAUGUCAUGUAGCGGGGAAAUGCUUAGAUAUGACAUAGAACACCAAUUGCGAAGGCAGCGCGCUACGGGAAUAUUGACACUGAGGCACGAAAGCGUGGGGAUCAAACAGG